GGUUAAUGCCUUUAUCUGCAAUUUUUUAAUUUCACAUUGAAUGUACUUUGAGUUAUUACUAAUACUCUUAAUACGUAAGGACAAGAAGCUGGAAAUGCGUAAAGUCAUCAAACGAAUUUGGCACUUCAGCAAUAUGUAGCAGGAAUUGAAGAGAUAUCAGUUUAGUUCAAACGUUCGCUAAAAAUGUGGAUCAUAUUAGGGUUCUUUGACAGAAUUACGGUCAUCUUUGUGUAUAUCACCAUUAUUAUCUCUAGCUUGGUAAACUGCAAGACACAGAAACAAUAAACGAUAAUACAUGGAGCUUGGGGUGUAGCCAUGACCAAGGAUGGAACUUUGUAAAAGUUUUAAUAGUGAGGGCAGAACAAACAUUCGUUUAGAAACUGCCAUCGAAUAUGGCCUUCCCUUCACCAACCACGAGACGGGACUUCGAUGAGAUGCCUAGUCACAAAUGGCCCACUGUCACAAGCCUUCAGAAGAAUUCCCUACAUCAAAAAUUAUUUGUGCAUUCGUUCACCUAUCUCAUCUAUCUUUCGACAUGAUAACUGAAAUUAUCGCAAGCUUCCAAAAUACCACAAGUUUACUAAGGUCAAGUGAUUUAUACACAUUACAGCUUCAAUUCCCUGAUAUAUGGAUCAAUUCUUUCGUCCUUAUCUGAGUAUGAAUAAAUGAAAUAAAGCUAUCUUCUUUACUGCCAAUAGUGGCAGUGGUGAUUAACAGUCGUAAGAAAGCAAUUCAUGGCAAAAGUUAACUGCAACGUAAAACCAGGGCUGUUUUGAAUGUAAUCAACAAUAAAGUGAGAUAAAAUGGUAUCUUCACGUUCAAGAAUUCUUAAGAUCAGCAAGUGAUGGCAUGCGGCACGUGGGUGAAUCGUUCAAAGAAGAAUGACUACAAAAGAUUUCUGGGACCAUGAUAAAAUCUGGAGACAGCACAGCAUGUUUUUCUUGCUUUAGAAGUAAAAUGUCAUUUGAAUUCUAGGAUAAGAUUAAAACUGUUACUUAGCAACAGAAAUACCUACGCAGCAACCUUGCUUUCAAAUCACAAUUUUUGAUUCGCAGCAGCACAGAAUACAACAUGCCUAAACAAAGCAACUAUUUCAGGUCACAUCCUUAGCCUAUUUCAAUUCAGAGAGGAAGGGGAACAGAGAGACCAUAUUCAGCUGGUUAAACUAUUCGUAUUUUAAAUAUUUGCCGUAGAAGAUCCUCACUAUCGAAGUUCUUAUCAGGCUUUAAGCGGUCGCGAAUUUAAAAUUAGGAAUAAAAAUUUGAAAGUGGCAACUAUCGAUUUUUCUCUUUAGAACGUAUUAUAUUCCAGAUAUUUUUUGACAGGUUGUAGUAAAUUUGAAAGCAAAAAUUACUUUCUUAAACAACUAAAGUUUUCAAGCAUGAUAUUUGAAAAAGAUUUAACUUUGUGUUCAAACAAAUGAAACAUAAACCUGAGAACGUUAAUAGUGAAUCAUUUUCAUAGCACCUUUUUCACAAUUAUUGCGAUUGCUCAGGGCAUUCAAACAAAAUCAACAGACAGAAGUUAGAACGGCACGAGCUUGGUUUUACACACACCAAUGAAUAUACCUAAAGUGCAUGAAUCCUACAUCAAGCAGCAAGAAAAAGAAAAUUUCAAGAUUGUAAGGAAAAGAAUACACAAAUUUCUAGGCGUCUGAAGUGGUUUCAAGCAGUAUUUAUUGAAACGCCUUCAAAUGUAGUUAAGUGCUCACCGUAUGAAAUGCUGAAACAACUUAUGCAAAAUUCUUGCAAACCUAUUACUGCUUCUAAAAAUACAGCAAUGACAUAUUCAAAAUUUACUCUUCAAUGGGGUACUUCAAAAAAAUCUUCUUUGCCAUAGCAGUUCGUUUUGCAAAACAGUUUGCGAAAAAACAUAAAAUGGAAAGAUGAAAAAUGGAAGGGUAGGCGUUUAGAGCAAAUCUGCUCAUAUUUCCAUGCACUUUUGCUGAUAAAAAGCCUGACACAAAAACACCCCCUGAACUUUAAUUCCUUACCAGUACCUUCUAAUCACAAGAAUAAACAAUCAUUAUUCUCAUUCGUAUUUUCAAAAGGUAAUGCGUAAGUUUAUGGUACUUCUUUGAUCUUCACUCUAGGAUUUCCGAUCAUAUCUUUGUCAUGUUACAGGAUUGGGUUGAAAGGAACACGCCCUAAUUUGCAUUGCAACAAAAUUAAGCCAUAAUAAUCUGGUUAAUCGAAGGAUAUUUCAAUGCAGUUGAUAUUAGAUUAAUUAAGCUUAUGUUGCUGGGCUAUUGUUAAUCUAUUUGAUAACAAAAUAGAUGAAUAAUCUUAUUUACGGAAUCAAUUGCCUACGGUGUGCUAUUCCAUCGUGAUUGUUACAUGCCACAGACAGCAGAUGUGGACUAAUUAUGAUGCGCCCUGGGGCAUCAGCGGUGCGACCACAUUUCUAAAAAGUGACCGGAUGCUUACGCAAGUCCAGCGUGAUGCUUGGGGAAAAAGAACAGAGAACAAAUUACAUUUUUAUUUUACUUCUAGAAUAGCGUGGUCAGAAAUGUCAUUCUCAAGAAACAGUACGAGAAGGCGUGGUUUUUUGUUCCAUAGUAAUGGAACAACGAAAAAUUUCGGUGCAAUAUUCCUAUCAUUGGCAGCAACACGUGCAGCCCGAAAAUUCGGCAAUUUUAAAAGCGUAACAAUGAUAUGAUUAUUAAACUUGCUUCUUUGACCCUACAGUGUCCUGGAGAUAUCACAAUAUGGUGUGUUCGGGGGAGGGUUUGAUGUCGAAGCGACGUUCUUCACUGCAGCAAAAGCGCUUAUGCAAAAACUAAGAACAUUUGCCGCAGUCCUUUUGGAUUUUUUAAUACAGCGAAGCAAUUUCAAGUAAGUUGUCGAAACAAGAAAGAAGGCAAGUUUUUCAGCAACCAAAACAUCCAUCAAACGCAUAAUUUCUUAUAUUUUUCGUUUACUUCAAUGUAUCUAUUGUUUACGUAGACUACCGUUAAAAUUCUUUCAUAGAUUCUAUAUUACUACUCGCAUGAAACAAAUCUUAAUAAUAAAGGUAAAUUUUCUUUUCCGUCGAAGAACUAAUUUGACAAAGAACGAUUUACAUGAAUACCAAUAAGGAUUUUGUUUCCAGUGGAACUAUCUCAAGAAGCAACGAUCUUACAGCACGACCUGCCGGUUCUCCUUCGGUUAUCAUUAUUCCAAAUCAAUAGUAUAGUCAGGUGAGAGCGAUGGCUGAUGUUAAUUACACUCGUUUUUGCGUGGCCAUUAUAAUAAGUUGAGGUUGUGUGUGGGGUGGGUGGGACAGCAUGAGAGAUCUUGGGGGAGCAUUGGGGGGGGGGUACGUUUGGGAACACGAGGGUACGUUUGGGAGCAUGAUGGUACGCGGAAGACCAUGGAGGCAUGUGGGGGAACAUUGGGGUACGAUGGGGGAGCAAACAUCAAAUCAAAAAAGUAAAUCAAGAAUUUGACGAAAACAUGGAACUUUAAACAAAGUGAAUGUUGUCAAACUGGGUAAACAAAUUAAUAAUUAAAAGCUGGCAAAGAAGUUCAUCAUUAAGAAUCAAGCUUAACUGCUUGAGAAAACGAAUGAGUGUGACAUCUACUAAAUCACUGUGGAAUCAAUCAAAUUAAAUGUAAUGGUUAAGAAUUAAGUUAAUUAACAAUUUUCCAUUAACACACAUGACCCUUGUAAUCAGACCUUCACGUGCUUUCAAUGUUUUUGGGAUGUAUUGAGCUACCUGACGAUAGCGACGGGCUGCCCAAAAACGAAAAUAUCAAUAAAGAAUAAGAAUGGGAAACUGAUAUCAAAUUCUCGAUGACCAGCUACUUUCUAUCGAGUAGGUUACCUGAGUAACGAAAUGCAAAAAACCAGAGAAAACGCAUCCUAACCGAUUGGAAAUACUGAUAACAGUUUACAACUUUAUAAAUUCUUGUCUUUAGUUCCUUUCAACGCACAAUAACAUGUAGUCCAUAUAUUCUAACCGAUACAAAACAAACACGCUUUUACCACAUCAGUGGUACAUAAUCACAACACGAAAUCUAACAACAAGAUUGAGAAGAUUUUAUUCAACUCUGUUAUAUAAUUGUAAAAUUAGGAUGUGUACAGAGAGACUGUUUGGUCAUCUUACUUACUAGGAUACCAAAUGCUACGCUUAUUGUCACAAUAAUAGGUCGAAAAAUCGGGAAAAAAGCUUGGAAAUUUUUGUCCCUCAGCUCAAGGGGAGAUUU